ACUUAUCUCUCCUCUUUUAGAAAGAGAAAAUUAUCUCUUGUUCUCUCAUCCUUAUUUUUUUGCAGGAGUGGAGUUUUCUAGAGGAGAAGAGAUUUUUUUUUUUGUUUUGUAAAUAUUUGGUCAUAUAUAUGAUCGAUUUUGUUGUGUUUUCAACUCAAAUCGAAUCGUUUUUUUUUUGCUGAACUCAUAUUGAGUUGAUUAAAUAAAGUUUCCGAUUAGGUUUAAUCGGAUAGUCAUUUUUCUGAUUUGAAAUCAGAGUUAUGAUGAGUAGCUCUCUGGUGUUCCAUUCAUUCCAACUGAUCCAACUCCUAUCGAAAUCACCAUUCUAGUUGGGUAAUAUCGUGCUCGCUUUUCCGUAAUCCUUAGUGGAUGGAGACAAGUUCUUCGGGUCAGAGCUACGCCGAGGACGUGGGUGUGUUCCAUCUGAGUGUUGAGGGAGACUGAAGCUUGUGAGAGGUUGGCGAUCGAGGAGAGUCUGCUUGAAUUGGUACAUGAAGCUUCAAGUUUGAAGAUCAAUGGAGAUUGAAGAACCGCGUAUGAGACCCAAACUGAACGGGUUAUGAAUGCCAUCUUUCCAGAGGAAGGGAUGCUCCUUUUCCACCGAGUUUCAUUAGAGAUGGCUUACGCGGACAACUUUCUGGCAAACCGAAAUCGUAGCAAUCCACCAGUUAGAGAGAUAAUGGAGCUGGAUGGCGAUGAUGAUGAGAUGGUGGAUGGAAAUCAAGCAAAUUUAGCGACAGUGACUGUUUUGCAGAGAUGGGGUUGCUAAGGGACUAGGAUUAGCAGCUACGGUAGACGUUGUGAGGGGUAAAGCAGUUGGAAAUGAGGCAAACGCCUGUGAUAACGCUCUGCAACAAAUGAUGAAGUUAGCUAUUUGCUGCGCAGUGAAGGGAGUUGGGACUAGCAAGGCUGGCAAGAGGGCAACUGAGACUUCCUCUAAAGGAAGUAGCACGGACGGUGGGUGUUGAAAGUUUGUGACAGAGUGGGGCGUGGGUAGUUAAUGAAAUGGAUUGUUUUUCUUUUCUUCAAGUUCUUCAGUUUGCGGGUUGUGCUAGUGACAUGAUCGGUUAGGGCAAAGUUUAGCAACUGUUUUAUGUUUUAGUGGGCUACACUCUAUCGUAGCUUGUAAGGAUGCAGUAAUGGCAAGAAUUUUCAAAAGGUUGUACGGAUAUGAAGUAUUUUAACGGGUAUCUGAUCCUUUUUGUUUGAUAA